rnacentral:rRNA from 1 species
AUACGGAGGAUCCAAGCGUUAUCCGGAUUUAUUGGGUUUAAAGGGUGCGUAGGCGGGGAAUCAAGUCAGCGGUGAAAGUUUGCGGCUCAACCGUAAAAUUGCCGUUGAAACUGGUUCUCUUGAGUGUAGAUGAGGUGGGUGGAAUUCGUGGUGUAGCGGUGAAAUGCUUAGAUAUCACGAAGAACUCCAAUUGCGUAGGCAGCUCACUGGGCUACAACUGACGCUGAGGCACGAAGGUGCGGGGAUCAAACAGGAUUAGAUACCCUGGUAGUCCGCACAGUAAACGAUGAAUACUAGCUGUUGGCGAUACACAGCCAGUGGCACAGCGAAAGCGUUAAGUAUUCCACCUGGGGAGUACGUUCGCAAGAAUGAA